CUCUAUCUUGACACCUGCAGGGCCGAAAUGCAGAUGCAUUAGCGCUUUAUUUUGGAGAAGAUCCAGCACGAUGUCCAUUCGAGCAAGUAGUUACAACACUCCAAAACUUUGUGAGGUUGUUCACGCGUUCCCAUGAAGAGAACUGUAAGCAACUGGAUCUUGAAAAGAAGAAAGCUCUGAAGGAAGCAGAAGAAAAUUGUAAACAAUUGGACCUUGAAAAGAAGAAAGCCCAGAAGGAAGCAGAAACAGAGAAAAUAAAGAAGAAAUCUGACAGUGAGAAAGUUUGUAAGAAAGAAUUGGAAAGCGAUAAAUCUUCUAAGAAGGAAUCAGCAAAUGAGAAAGCCAAGCUAAACAACACGAGCAAAGAACUAGAUAUAUCACUUCAAUCACCUGCCCAAACUGCCAGUGCCAAAUGAUGACCAAACCAGAUGAACUAACAACAGUAGCUUUUCCAAUAGAGGAAAACUAGUUUUGGCUGCUCCCAACAAUGCUCUCUUUUGACGAAUCAUGCAGGAUAAGGGGGCCGAAAACUGCACUGGUAAGUAGGGUUAUCACAGAAUUGUCUCAAGCUAUAGAAAAACAGUUAAAGUCCUGAUCAAUAAGGUAUAUUUCAGUCUUGGAUAAGUGCUAUUGUAUAGCUUAUUCCAUAUUAAUGUCUGCUGUGCAGUUAAUACCUUCUCAGGGGAUUGUUGAAGAAAUGACCCUGGGGACAAGCUGUACAGAUCUGACAUAAGGCCAGUUUCAAUAAAGAGUUUCAUGUCCCAGUUUCCAACACAUCUGAUUUUGGAAACAACGCAGAAGAGUUUCAUAGAGAUGAAACUCUCUCUGCUCUCAUAAAACUCUUAUCACCUCUCACUUCACUAAUAUGAUGCCACAUCAGUAUAUUUAAUGCCCAUGAAACUGUGGUGAAAUCACAUUUAGACUGGUCUAAUAAUAAUUUCUCUUUUGGGUAAUAGAUAGAUCAUCCUUACAAUUUUGUCUGUCUUGAUUAGAUGUAGCUAAUGUCUGGCAUUAUUUAAAAUUAACAUAUAUAUAGAAUAACUGCUGAUGUAUGUCUAGGUAAUUAGGCUUCUUUAGCUGUUGUAAAGAUAAAGUUCAGUUCUUACAUUUUUUUUUGUUUGCUUAGUCUUUUUUUUUGGGUAGUCAGCUAAUAUUGUAAAGAUAAAUUACAAUUUUAUUUGUCUUCUUGAUCCAAGGGUUGACCCCUGCUUCGAUGAAUGGUUUAUACAUGUAAAACUCCAAUUGUGCAACUGUUCUUGUACAAAAGGUGAACAUGUCGCGAGGUCCAAACAUGCAUCAACAUGCAAAUUAAGUCUAUUUGCAGGUUCGCGAACU